AAUUCUUGCCUAGCCUCAACCAUGGAACUAUACUAAUGGAACAACAGCUCCUAGUUUUUACUAGGGGAGUGCCGUCGCGCAUCAUUUUCACGCAUGGUGCAAUAUGGAGAAAUUCAGGAGGAUGCAAAAGAAGAAAUUUACUCCUCCAGUCACUUGGACUGACCUUCAAUGAGAGUAAAACUUUCCUACGCUUUAUUUUAUUAGAUCUCUAAAAACUUCAUCCAUUUUCUCACAAUGUUUUGUGAUUUAUAAAAUUUUCCUGAAUAAGGGAUCGUCACAAAAGUUAUUUUUUUAAGGCCACCCCAUUAAAAUAGCUGUUUUCAGUACUUUCACAUUUGGGUAUUUUACACAAAAUCUGGAUAUUUUUUUAUGUACAUUAAAUCAUUAUCAUCUGUCCCGCGUAACUAAAUCCUCCACUUUUCCCGGUCACCAAUGUUCUUAACAAGAGAGAGAGGCUGGUCCAUUAUUUGCGUAGUCCAGCCAGCUUUUCUUCUGACAAACCAUUUUUCGUUUAUUCUCUUAAAGGAUAUUUUUUUAAAAGUUAGUCUUACAAAAUACAAUUCCAAACCAACUCAUGCAGUUAUCGUCUUUUCACAGUAGGAGGAGUCAUCCUUUUUGCCAGCCAGAGUGUUAAUUGGCAAAAGUAAAAAAUUCAUUAUUUUAAUUUUUUUAGUAAAUAUUCACAACUAUAUCUUUUAUAUAAUAAUAUAUUUUUUUAAUAAUAAUAUCUUUUAUAUAGACAUGCUUUAAUAUAUCUAAUAAAUGAUUAACGCGGCCCUACCAAUAUGGGUAUAUUAAUACUUAAAUCUGGGUAUUUUAAAUUUCGAAUGCGCAUUUUUAAAAAACCGAACUUAUCUAUAGAUCUCUUAUAUCUAGAAUAAUCUAGAUCUACAACACCCAGACUUAGACUAUGGUUCUAGAUCUAUUUAAAAGAUAUUUUUUUAAAAAUAACUCAACAGAUCUAAUAAAGUCAUGAUUUCCACUCUAUUUUCUCUAGAUCUAGACCAUACAUGAGAUCUAAAUCUAGACUUCACUUUCACAUCACAUGAUUAUUGAUACAGACAGUGAAUGAAACGAAUGCAGUGAUUAUAUUUAAUAUAUUAUAGUUUAUACUGACUUAUAGCUCUACCAGUUGAUUAUCAUCAUCAUCAUCUGAGGUCAUCUCGAAUAAUAAUCUAGACUAUUAUUAACAAGUAGAACCAUGCCAACCAGUUCUGAUGAUGUACCAGAAUGGCUCAAGGAUCAUACUUAUACUAUUUCUACUCUCUGGGCAGACAUUAAUAAUAUUAGCAUCCAUUCAAUAUUUAUUUUAUGUUUGGAAAUGCAAGAAAAAGGCAUGCAUUCCUGACAAGUCAAUGAUUGGUUGCACCUCUUAAAGAUAACUUUCUGUUAUGAGAAAAGAUGAGAUUCUUGGACUCCUGCAUAGCACCACCAGAAAGGAAAAUCCCAUCAUGUUGCAAAAUAAAAGUCUUGGACCAAUUUUAAUUUAAGAUAUAUAUAUUAUACUGUAAGCUCUAUACAUAUUUAUGUAUAUCCUGUCAUUCAGCCAACAGGUUUGGAUUUAGUAUUUCUUUAAAUCUGUUUGAUAUUGUACUUGAAAACUAUUAAUCUGAGCCCCAUUAAAACAAUAGGGAGUGCAGUGAAUGAGUGGUAAAGCACUUGGCUUCUGAACUGAGGGUUCCUGGGUUCAAUUAAGACUGGGAUUUUCAAUUUCAGAAUUCAUAAGGCUAGGGAUACAUGGCAAUAGUAAGGAAUAAGUAAAGGCAGUUUGGGGAUCCAUGGCUGAAUGGUUAAGUCAUGGGUUUGAAUCUCUGUGAAGACUCGGGUUAAAUUUUUUUUAGAUUUUUGGGUGCCCCUGAGUCCACCUAACUCUAAUGGGUAGCUGACUUUUGUUUUGGAAAGUAAAGAUGGUUGGUUGUUGUGCUGGCCACAUGAUGCACUGGCCAAAGAAUCAAAUGACCUUAACAUCAUCUGCCCUAUAGAUUGUGACGUCUGAAAUGGGAUUUUUUUUCAAAAGGUGGUUGGUUGUUGUGCUGGGUACAUGACACCCUCGCUAACCAUGGGGCACAGAAACUGAUAAACUUUAUAUCAUCUGCCCCAUAGAUUGCAAGAUAUGUAAGGGAAAUUUUACUUUUUUAAAAUUAAAAUAAGAAUCUAUCAAAAGUAAACAUAAAAUAUGGUGCAUUCUCCUUAAAACUAAAACCUGGUGCGAAGGUUUAAAAUGUUGGCAAAAAAAAGCAACAUCAUAUAUUCUUAAUUCCCUUUGCAAAACUUACUGAGAAGAACAUGCAUGUUGUUCCCUCAUAAUUUUCUUGACAGAGGAAAUCUUGUUUAUAUUAGAUUUGAAUUAAGCAAAUUAAGAAAAAAAUUAUAAUCAUUAUUUCAAAUGGUUGUAUCUAAACCUUAUGAAUUAUUUUUCCGUUAUAAGUAUAUUGAGAUUAAUGGAUAAUCAUGAAAUUGUAAAAUAAUUGCUGCUAUCAUUCCAUUGACUAAAGAACCAUAAUUUUUUUUUUUUUAAAUUAAUUUCAAAAUGAUUUUUUUCAAGCAUAGAGUUCACAUAGAUCUGUGAAUUUUUUUUUUUAUUUGACUAAUGCUUCAAUUUUAUUGUAUCAUAUUAGUUGUUAAUUUUUAUUACCCAGAAUAUUUAAAAAAUGAGUACACUAUUUUCAUGUAAUAAUGUAACUUGGUAUUCACACAAUACUCAAAAUACACCAUAAUCUUUAGGCCAUACAGAUUUGUAUAAAUUAACUUGUUUAAAUACAUUGUAAAUGUAUACUGUUUGGAUAAGAAUAAAGUUUUUCUGUAGACAA